rnacentral:rRNA from 1 species
GACGAACCGUCCAAACGUUGUUCGGAAUCACUGGGCUUAAAGGGCGCGUAGGCGGGCUGUCAAGUCCGGGGUGAAAUCCUCCAGCUUAACUGGAGAACGGCCUCGGAUACUGAUGGUCUCGAGGGAGGUAGGGGCACGCGGAACUGUGGGUGGAGCGGUGAAAUGCGUUGAUAUCCAUAGGAACUCCGGUGGCGAAAGCGGCGUGCUGGACCUUUUCUGACGCUGAUGCGCGAAAGCCAGGGGAGCAAACGGG